rnacentral:rRNA from 1 species
AUUGAACGCUGGCGGCAGGCUUAACACAUGCAAGUCGAGCGGAGAUGAGGUGCUUGCACCUUAUCUUAGCGGCGGACGGGUGAGUAAUGCUUAGGAAUCUGCCUAUUAGUGGGGGACAACAUUCCGAAAGGAAUGCUAAUACCGCAUACGUCCUACGGGAGAAAGCAGGGGAUCUUCGGACCUUGCGCUAAUAGAUGAGCCUAAGUCGGAUUAGCUAGUUGGUGGGGUAAAGGCCUACCAAGGCGACGAUCUGUAGCGGGUCUGAGAGGAUGGUCCGCCACACUGGGACUGAGACACGGCCCAGACUCCUACGGGAGGCAGCAGUGGGGAAUAUUGGACAAGGGGGGGAACCCUGAUCCAGCCAUGCCGCGUGUGUGAAGAAGGCCUUAUGGUUGUAAAGCACUUUAAGCGAGGAGGAGGCUACUGAGACUAAUACUCUUGGAUAGUGGACGUUACUCGCAGAAUAAGCACCGGCUAACUCUGUGCCAGCAGCCGCAGUAAGAC